CCUACGGGAGGCAGCAGUGAGGAAUAUUGGUCAAUGGGCGGGAGCCUGAACCAGCCAAGCCGCGUGAGGGAAGAAGGUACAGCGUAUCGUAAACCUCUUUUGUCAGGGAACAAAGGCGGGGACUAGUCCCCGGAUGAGGGUACCUGAAGAAAAAGCAUCGGCUAACUCCGUGCCAGCAGCCGCGGUAAUACGGAGGAUGCGAGCGUUAUCCGGAUUUAUUGGGUUUAAAGGGUGCGCAGGCGGCCUGUUAAGUCAGCGGUAAAAGCCCGGGGCUCAACCGUAAAAUUGCAGUUGAAACUGGCAGUCUUGAGUACAGUAGAGGUGGGCGGAAUUCGUGGUGUAGCGGUGAAAUGCUUAGAUAUCACGAAGAACUCCGAUUGCGAAGGCAGCUCACUGGACUGCAACUGACACUGAGGCUCGAAAGUGUGGGUAUCAAACAGGAUUAGAUACCCGGGUAGUC
rnacentral:rRNA from 1 species